GCGGACGUCCAGUCGGACCCCCAGCAGAUCCAGCAGCACUACCUGUCCUGGAGCCCAGCUCCGAAUCCAGGUGGACCAGCUGGAACAUGAGCUGCGAGAGAGACUGCAGAGCCAGGGCUGCGAUCACCUCAACCGCCUCUUCAAGAAGAUCAACCCUGAGGGUCGGGGCCAAGUGGACAGAGACGCGCUGCUCGCCAUCCUCACCGCAUUCCUGGGCCGCUUCAUCAGUGCCAAGCAGUUGGCGCAGCUCCUGCUC